UACGGAGGGUGCAAGCGUUAAUCGGAAUUACUGGGCGUAAAGCGCGCGUAGGCGGUUUUUUAAGUCGGAUGUGAAAGCCCCGGGCUCAACCUGGGAACUGCAUCCGAUACUGGAUCACUAGAAUGCGGGAGAGGGAGGUAGAAUUCCAUGUGUAGCAGUGAAAUGCGUAGAUAUAUGGAGGAAUACCAGUGGCGAAGGCGGCCUCCUGGCUCGACAUUGACGCUGAGGUGCGAAAGCGUGGGGAGCAAACGGGAUUAGAUACCCCGGUAGUCCACGCCGUAAACGAUGUCUACUAGCUGUAGGGGUACUUGAGACCUUUGUAGCGCAGCUAACGCAAUAAGUAGACCGCCUGGGGAGUACGGCCGCAAGGUUAAAACUCAAAUGAAUUGACGGGGGCCCGCACAAGCAGUGGAGCAUGUGGUUUAAUUCGAUGCAACGCGAAGAACCUUACCAGGCCUUGACAUCCCCGGAACUUUCUAGAGAUAGAUUGGUGCCUUCGGGAACCGGGUGACAGGUGCUGCAUGGCUGUCGUCAGCUCGUGUCGUGAGAUGUUGGGUUAAGUCCCGUAACGAGCGCAACCCUUGUCCUUAGUUGCCAGCACGUAAUGGUGGGAACUCUAAGGAGACUGCCGGUGACAAACCGGAGGAAGGUGGGGACGACGUCAAG
rnacentral:rRNA from 1 species